UACGUAGGGGGCGAGCGUUGUCCGGAAUCAUUGGGCGUAAAGCGCGUGUAGGCGGCCCGGUAAGUCCGCUGUGAAAGUCCAGGGCUCAACCCUGGGAUGCCGGUGGAUACUGUCGGGCUCGAGUCCGGAAGAGGCGAGUGGAAUUCCUGGUGUAGCGGUGAAAUGCGCAGAUAUCAAGGAAGAACACCCGUGGCGAAGGCGGCUCUCUGGGACGGUACUGACGGCUGAGACGCGAAAGCGUGGGGAGCGAACAGG
rnacentral:rRNA from 1 species